GAUGAACGCUGGCGGCGUGCCUAAUACAUGCAAGUCGAGCGAACAGACGAGGAGCUUGCUCCUCUGACGUUAGCGGCGGACGGGUGAGUAACACGUGGAUAACCCUACCUAUAAGACUGGGAUAACUUCGGGAAACCGGAGCUAAUACCGGAUAAUAUAUUGAACCGCAUGGUUCAAUAGUGAAAGACGGUUUUGCUGUCACUUAUAGAUGGAUCCUCGCCGCAUUAGCUAGUUGGUAAGGUAACGGCUUACCAAGGCAACGAUGCGUAGCCGACCUGAGAGGGUGAUCGGCCACACUGGAACUGAGACACGGUCCAGACUCCUACGGGAGGCAGCAGUAGGGAAUCUUCCGCAAUGGGCGAAAGCUUGACGGAGCAACGCCGCGUGAGUGAUGAAGGUCUUCGGAUCGUAAAACUCUGUUAUUAGGGAAGAACAAAUGUGUAAGUAACUAUGCACGUCUUGACGGUACCUAAUCAGAAAGCCACGGCUAACUACGUG
rnacentral:rRNA from 1 species